UUCACCAAGUGUUGGAUUG
rnacentral:snRNA from 1 species